UUCUUAUCCAGAGAGGUGAAGGGACUGGCCCGUUGAAGCCUCGGCAACAGACUGCUUGCAGUACUGUGCCAAUUCCAGAAGCUUAAUGCUUGAAGAUAAGAA
rnacentral:ncRNA from 1 species